rnacentral:rRNA from 1 species
AUUGAACGCUGGCGGCAUGCCUUACACAUGCAAGUCGAACGGCAGCAUGGAGAGCUUGCUCUCUGAUGGCGAGUGGCGAACGGGUGAGUAAUGCAUCGGAACGUACCGUGUAAUGGGGGAUAACGUAGCGAAAGUUACGCUGAUACCGCAUACGACCUGAGGGUGAAAGCAGGGGAUCGCAAGACCUUGCGUUAUACGAGCGGCCGAUGUCUGAUUAGCUAGUUGGUGAGGUAAAGGCUCACCAAGGCGACGAUCUGUAGCGGGUCUGAGAGGAUGAUCCGCCACACUGGGACUGAGACACGGCCCAGACUCCUACGGGAGGCAGCAGUGGGGAAUUUUGGACAAUGGGGGCAACCCUGAUCCAGCCAUGCCGCGUGAGUGAAGAAGGCCUUCGGGUUGUAAAGCUCUUUCGGCUGGGAAGAAAUCGCACAGGCUAAUACUCUGUGUGGAUGACGGUACCGGCAUAAGAAGCACCGGCUAACUACGUGCCAGCAGCCGCGGUAA